rnacentral:rRNA from 1 species
AACCUCCGCAAUGUGAGAAAUCGCGACGGGGGGAUCCCAAGUGCCAUUCUUAACGGGAUGGCUUUUCAUUAGUGUAAAGAGCUUUUGGAAUAAGAGCUGGGCAAGACCCGUGCCAGCCGCCGCGGUAACACCGGCAGCUCUAGUGGUAACAAUUUUUAUUGGGCCUAAAGCGUCCGUAGCCGGUUUAAUAAGUCUCUGGUGAAAUCCUGUAGCUUAACUGUGGGAAUUGCUGGAGAUACUAUUAGACUUGAGACCGGGAGAGGUUAGAGGUACUCCCAGGGUAGAGGUGAAAUUCUGUAAUCCUGGGAGGACCGCCUGUUGCGAAGGCAUCUAACUGGAACGGUUCUGACGGUGAGGGACGAAAGUUAGGGGCGCGAACCGGAUUAGAUACCCGGGUAGUCCUAACUGUAAACGAUGCGGACUUGGUGUUGGGGUGGCUUUGAGCUGCUCCAGUGCCGAAGGGAGCUGUUAAGUCCGCCGCCUGGGAGUACGGUCGCAAGACUGAAACUUAAAGGAAGU